GAUGAACGCUCGCUACAGGCUUAACACAUGCAAGUCGAGGGGAAACGGCAUCGAAAGCUUGCUUUUGAUGGGCGUCGACCGGCGCACGGGUGAGUAACGCGUAUCCAACCUGCCCAUCACUUGGGAAUAACCUUGCGAAAGUAAGACUAAUGCCCAAUGACAUCCCACGAAGGCAUCCGAAUGGGAUUAAAGAUUUAUCGGUGAUGGAUGGGGAUGCGUCUGAUUAGCUUGUUGGCGGGGUGACGGCCCACCAAGGCAACGAUCAGUAGGGGUUCUGAGAGGAAGGUCCCCCACAUUGGAACUGAGACACGGUCCAAACUCCUACGGGAGGCAGCAGUGAGGAAUAUUGGGCAAUGGGCGAGAGCCUGAACCAGCCAAGUAGCGUGCAGGAUGACGGCCCUAUGGGUUGUAAACUGCUUUUAUAAGGGAAUAAAGUGGGUCACGUGUGACUUUUUGCAUGUACCUUAUGAAUAAGGACCGGCUAAUUCCGUG
rnacentral:rRNA from 1 species